GACGAACGCUGGCGGCGUGCUUAACACAUGCAAGUCGAGCGGUAAGGCCCUUUCGGGGGUACACGAGCGGCGAACGGGUGAGUAACACGUGGGUGACCUGCCCUCAGCUCUGGGAUAAGCCUGGGAAACCGGGUCUAAUACCGGAUAUGACUCCAUGACGCAUGUUGUGGGGUGGAAAGCCUUGUGCGGCUGAGGAUGGGCCCGCGGCCUAUCAGCUUGUUGGUGGGGUGAUGGCCUACCAAGGCGACGACGGUAGCCGGCCUGAGAGGGCGACCGGCCACACUGGGACUGAGACACGGCCCAGACUCCUACGGGAGGCAGCAGU
rnacentral:rRNA from 1 species